rnacentral:misc_RNA from 1 species
AAGACUAUAGACCUGCGGAGUACCUGCGGAGGGAUCAUUACCGAGUUGAGAAAAAAACUCCCAAACCCCAGUGUGAACGUUACCAACCCGUUGCCUCGGCGGGUCACCCCUCCCUGCCCCGGGCGCGUCGCAGCCCCCGGGUUCCAGGGCGCCCGCCGGAGGACCAACUCGCAAACCCUUUUAUCUGUAUCUCUCCUUACCCUCUGAGCCUUUCUCGGCGCCCCCAGCGGGCGUUCCGAA